GCGCAGCAGUCGCGAAAACUCCACAAUGUGGGAAACCACGAUGGGGGAACUCCCAGUGCGCACACUUUGUGUGCGCUGUUCUCCUGCCUAAAAAGCAGGAGAAGUAAGGGCCGGGUAAGACGGGUGCCAGCCGCCGCGGUAAUACCCGCGGCCCGAGUGGUGCUCAUUAUUAUUGAAUCUAAAACGUCCGUAGCCGGUCGGGUAGAUUCCUGGGUAAAUCGAACCGCUCAACGGCUCGAAUUCCGGGGAGGCCGCCCGACUAGGGACCGGGAGAGGCGUGAGGUACUCCUGGGGUAGCGAACCGGAUUAGAUACCCGCGUAGUCC
rnacentral:rRNA from 1 species